rnacentral:lncRNA from 1 species
GAGAGGCUAUAUGGGAUGCUGUCUCUGAGGGCUGGCCCUGGGACCACACUGCCUGAGUUUGAAUCUGGCUCCACCAUUUAUUAGUGUGUGAUUUGGGAAAAAGCAAAAUGCACUUUCGUCUUUGCCUCCAAAAGUAAUAAAGAAAAUUGUCGUAAAUGGGAUCCAGAUGAACAAGGUUCCCUGUGGGAACAAAAGAGUCUCAGUCGACAGACAGAGAGAAGCAGGAUCUGCGACCCUCCGCUGCGCGUCUGUCAUACGCGGGAUUUGUAUGCAGAGAGGAAAAGAAUUGCUGAAUAGGAUUACUACUCCGAAGGGGAAAACAAAAGAAGUUUAACAAUCAAUGCAUGAAAGAGAGCAAGCAAACCUCUCCACGGAGGUCGAAGAGAAAGAAAAGAGUUUCUUACUGAAUAAGCGCUAAACCAGAAUGUGAUGCUCAUCACAGGCCAUCUGCUAAGAGAUUGCAAAGACACAAAGAAACCUCCCUCAUCGACAGACAUGUGGCUACUACCCGCCAGAUGAGGACAAUGAGGCACGGAGGGGAUGAAGAAUUGCCCAGGAUCCCACAACUAGAGGCUGACAGAGACGAGUUCUACCCGUGUUCAGUCUUCGUCUCCCUGCUACAGUAUCCUGCCAAGGUUCCAACUCAAUUUACACGAUUCCACCCUUUGGCUUCACAGCUGGGUGACUGGACUCAGGCGGGGUUAAGAGGGUCUGAAGAAUUGUGGGAAGGUGUCUUAUCCUGCAAAAUUGAUCAAUAAACAGGCAAAAAGCAAUCAGGAUUGUAGAAUGGGUUAGUUGGCUAGGCCUGCCGUAACAGACUGAGUGGCUUAAAUAAAUUUAUAGUCUUACAAUUCCGGAGGCUGGAAGUCUAAGAUCAAGGUGCCAGCAGGGUAAAUGAUUGGCAAGGCUUGAAGAUGCUGCUUCUCACUGUGCCCUCAGGUGGCCUUUCCUCUGUGCGCACACAUCCCUGGUGUCUCUUCCUCUUACAGAGACACCUGUCCUAUCGGAUUAGGGCCCCACCCUUAUGACUUAACCUCAAUUACCCCCCCAAAGGCCCUAUCUCCAGAUACAGUCACAGUGUGGGGUGGGCUUCAACCUACGAAUUUGUAAAG